GAUGAACGCUGGCGGCGUGCUUAACACAUGCAAGUCGAACGAAGCACUUUAUUUGAUUUCCUUCGGGACUGAUUAUUUUGUGACUGAGUGGCGGACGGGUGAGUAACGCGUGGGUAACCUGCCUUGUACAGGGGGAUAACAGUUGGAAACGGCUGCUAAUACCGCAUAAGCGCACAGCAUCGCAUGAUGCAGUGUGAAAAACUCCGGUGGUAUAAGAGGGACCCGCGUUGGAUUAGCUAGUUGGUGAGGUAACGGCCCACCAAGGCGACGAUCCAUAGCCGACCUGAGAGGGUGACCGGCCACAGUGGGACUGAGACACGGCCCAAACUCCUACGGGAGGCAGCAGUGGGGAAUAUUGCACAAUGGGCGAAAGCAUGAUGCAGCGACGCCGCGUGAGCGAAGAAGUAUUUCGGUAUGUAAAGCUCUAUCAGCAGGGAAGAUAAUGACGGUACCUGACUAAGAAGCACCGGCUAAAUACGUG
rnacentral:rRNA from 1 species